GAUGAACGCUGGCGGCGUGCCUAAUACAUGCAAGUCGAGCGAACAGACGAGGAGCUUGCUCCUCUGACGUUAGCGGCGGACGGGUGAGUAACACGUGGAUAACCUACCUAUAAGACUGGGAUAACUUCGGGAAACCGGAGCUAAUACCGGAUAAUAUAUUGAACCGCAUGGUUCAAUAGUGAAAGACGGUUUUGCUGUCACUUAUAGAUGGAUCCGCGCCGCAUUAGCUAGUUGGUAAGGUAACGGCUUACCAAGGCAACGAUGCGUAGCCGACCUGAGAGGGUGAUCGGCCACACUGGAACUGAGACACGGUCCCGACUCCUAAGGGAGGCAGCAGUAGGGAAUCUUCCGCAAUGGGCGAAAGCCUGACGGAGCAACGCCGCGUGAGGGAAGAAGGUCUUCGGAUCGUAAAACUCUGUUAUUAGGGAAGAACAAAUGUGUAAGUAACUAUGCACGUCUUGACGGUACCUAAUCAGAAAGCCACGGCUAACUACGUG
rnacentral:rRNA from 1 species